rnacentral:rRNA from 1 species
CUCGUAGGCGGCCAACUAAGUCAGACGUGAAAUCCCCAGGCUCAACCUGGGAACUGCGUCUGAUACUGGAUGGCUUGAAUUCGGGAGAGGGAUGCAGAAUUCCAGGUGUAGCGGUGAAAUGCGUAGAUAUCUGGAGGAAUACCGGUGGCGAAGGUGGCAUCCUGGACCGACAUUGACGCUGAGGAGCGAAAGCGUAGGGGAGACGAAACG